GGACUACCCGGGUUUCUAAUCCUGUUCGCUCCCCUAGCUUUCGCGCCUCAGCGUCAGAUGCCAGCCAGGACACUGCCUUCGCCUUUGGUAUUCCUCCGGAUAUCUACGCAUUUCACCACUCCACCCGGAAUUCUAUGUCCCUCUCUGGCCCUCAAGUCCGGCAGUUUUCAGAGGCCUUACCCAGUUAAGCCGGGUACUGUCACUCCAAACUUACCGCACCGCCUGCACGCCCUUUACGCCCAGUAACUCCGGACAACGCUCGCCCCCUACGUAUUACCGCGGCGGCUGGCAC
rnacentral:rRNA from 1 species